CCUACGGGUGGCUGCAGUGGGGAAUAUUGGACAAUGGGGGGAACCCUGAUCCAGCCAUGCCGCGUGUGUGAAGAAGGCCCUCGGGUUGUAAAGCACUUUCAGUGAGGAAGAACGCCUGGUGGUUAAUACCCAUCAGGAAAGACAUCACUCACAGAAGAAGCACCGGCUAACUCCGUGCCAGCAGCCGCGGUAAUACGGAGGGUGCGAGCGUUAAUCGGAAUUACUGGGCGUAAAGCGCGCGUAGGUGGCUUGAUAAGCCGGUUGUGAAAGCCCCGGGCUCAACCUGGGAACGGCAUCCGGAACUGUCAAGCUAGAGUGCAGGAGAGGAAGGUAGAAUUCCCGGUGUAGCGGUGAAAUGCGUAGAGAUCGGGAGGAAUACCAGUGGCGAAGGCGGCCUUCUGGACUGAGACUGACACUGAGGUGCGAAAGCGUGGGUAGCAAACAGGAUUAGAUACCCUAGUAGUC
rnacentral:rRNA from 1 species